GGGGGUGUACCUCAGUGGUACAGUAUGUACCUAGCAUGCACGAGGUCCUGGGUUCAAUCCCCAGUACCUCCA
rnacentral:tRNA from 1 species